CCGGGUCGGCGACUGCCCGAAACCAAACAGUGCACUGGCAUGUUGUAUUUUUUGUGCCGUCGCGCCGCGGCGGGCUGCUCGCUGGGGGAGCCGCGGGCCCUGGAGUGGGUUUCUUACCCUUCCGGGCCGGCCUGCUAAGGGCGCUGUUCAGAACCGCGCUGAAGAACUUUCAGAGGGUGUCCCUAGUGGUCUUCGGGCCCUGGACGAGAAAAAAACCCAGUCA
rnacentral:misc_RNA from 1 species